rnacentral:rRNA from 1 species
UAGGGAAUCUUCGGCAAUGGGGGCAACCCUGACCGAGCAACGCCGCGUGAGUGAAGAAGGUUUUCGGAUCGUAAAGCUCUGUUGUAAGUCAAGAACGGGUGUGAGAGUGGAAAGUUCACACUGUGACGGUAGCUUACCAGAAAGGGAUGGCUAACUACGUGCCAGCAGCCGCGGUAAUACGUAGGUCCCGAGCGUUGUCCGGAUUUAUUGGGCGUAAAGCGAGCGCAGGCGGUUUGAUAAGUCUGAAGUUAAAGGCUGUGGCUCAACCAUAGUUCGCUUUGGAAACUGUCAAACUUGAGUGCAGAAGGGGAGAGUGGAAUUCCAUGUGUAGCGGUGAAAUGCGUAGAUAUAUGGAGGAACACCGGUGGCGAAAGCGGCUCUCUGGUCUGUAACUGACGCUGAGGCUCGAAAGCGUGGGGAGCGAACAGGAUUAGAUACCCUGGUAGUCCACGCCGUAAACGAUGAGUGCUAGGUGUUGGAUCCUUUCCGGGAUUCAGUGCCGCAGCUAACGCAUUAAGCACUCCGCCUGGGGGAGUACGACCGCAAGG